rnacentral:rRNA from 1 species
GACAGAGGGUGCAAACGUUGCUCGGAAUUACUGGGCGUAAAGCGCGUGUAGGCGGAUGGGUAUGUCAGAUGUGAAAUCCCCAGGCUCAACUUGGGAACUGCAUUUGAAACUGCCCGUCUUGAGUGGUGGAGAGGAGAGCGGAAUUCCUGGUGUAGAGGUGAAAUUCGUAGAUAUCAGGAGGAACACCGGUGGCGAAGGCGGCUCUCUGGACACCGACUGACGCUGAGACGCGAAAGCGUGGGGAGCAAACAGG